UACGGGGGGGGCAAGCGUUGUUCGGAAUUACUGGGCGUAAAGGGCGCGUAGGCGGCCUUCUAAGUCGGACGUGAAAUCCCUCGGCUUAACCGAGGAACUGCGUCCGAUACUGAAAGGCUUGAAUCCGGGAGAGGGAUGUGGAAUUCCAGGUGUAGCGGUGAAAUGCGUAGAUAUCUGGAGGAACACCGAUGGCGAAGGCAGCCCCCUGGGCUAACACUGACGCUCAUGCACGAAAGCGUGGGGAGCAAACAGG
rnacentral:rRNA from 1 species